UACGGGGGGAGCAAGCGUUGUUCGGAUUUACUGGGCGUAAAGGGCGCGUAGGCGGUCAGCACAAGUCAGUUGUGAAAUCUCCGGGCUUAACCCGGAAAGGUCAACCGAUACUGCGGGGCUAGAGUGCGGAAGGGGCAACUGGAAUUCUUGGUGUAGCGGUGAAAUGCGUAGAUAUCAAGAGGAACACCUGCGGCGAAGGCGGGUUGCUGGGCCGACACUGACGCUGAUGCGCGAAAGCUAGGGGAGCGAACGGG
rnacentral:rRNA from 1 species